CAGCCCCUCGAGUGGUGGGGAUGAUUAUUUGGCCUAAAGCGUCCGUAGCCGGCCAUGUAAGUCUCCCGUUAAAUCCAGCGUCUCAAGCGUUGGACUGCGGGAGAUACUGCAAGGCUAGAGGGUGGGAGAGGUAUGCGGUAUUCUGGGGGUAGGGGCGAAAUCCUUUGAUCCCCGGAGGACCACCAGUGGCGAAGGCUGCAUACUAGAACACGCCUGACGGUCAGGGACGAAAGCUGGGGUAGCGAACCGGAUUAGAUACCCGAGUAGUCC
rnacentral:rRNA from 1 species